rnacentral:rRNA from 1 species
UGAGGAAUAUUGGGCAAUGCCCGAAAGGGUGACCCAGCAACGCCGCGUGGAGGAUGAAUGCCGUAAGGUUGUAAACUCCUGUUAGAGGGGAAGAAAAAUCUCGAUCAAAUCGGGAACUGACUGUACCCUCAGAGAAAGCCCCGGCUAACUACGUGCCAGCAGCCGCGGUAAUACGUAGGGGGCAAGCGUUGUCCGGAUUCACUGGGUGUAAAGGGCGCGCAGGCGGGUUAGCAAGUCAGAGGUGAAAUCCUACAGCUUAACUGUAGAACUGCCUUUGAAACUGCUAAUCUUGAGUACGGAAGAGAGAGAUGGAAUUCCAGGUGUAGUGGUGAAAUACGUAGAUAUCUGGAAGAACACCAGUGGCGAAGGCGGUACU